CCUACGGGAGGCAGCAGUGAGGAAUAUUGGUCAAUGGCCGUAAGGCUGAACCAGCCAAGUCGCGUGAAGGAAGAAGGAUCUAUGGUUUGUAAACUUCUUUUAUAGGGGAAUAAAGGUAUCCACGUGUGGAUAUUUGCAUGUACCCUAUGAAUAAGCAUCGGCUAACUCCGUGCCAGCAGCCGCGGUAAUACGGAGGAUGCGAGCGUUAUCCGGCUUUAUUGGGUUUAAAGGGUGCGUAGGUUGUUUUUUAAGUCAGCGGUGAAAGUUUGUGGCUCAACCAGAAAAUUGCCGUUGAAACUGGCAGACUUGAGUGUGUUUGAGGUAGGCGGAAUGCGUGUUGUAGCGGUGAAAUGCAUAGCUAUCACGCAGAACUCCGAUUGCGAAGGCAGCUUACUACGCCAUAACUGACACUGCAGCACGAAAGCGUGGGGAUCAAACAGGAUUAGAUACCCCUGUAGUC
rnacentral:rRNA from 1 species